rnacentral:lncRNA from 1 species
ACCGCCUCAACAACACCUGUCGCAUAUGUGGCAGUGCCCAGCAUUAUGCAAGAGAAUGCCCGAGGAACCAGAAUCAAGGAAGGCCUCCUAUCCAGGGCAGAGCUUACAACCUUACCCAGCAGGAUGCCGACGCCGACCCGGAUGUGGUACAGGGUAUGUAUAUUAUCUGUGACCAUAUUGCUCAUGUUUUAUUUGACAUUGGUACAUCGCACUCUUUUGUUUCACAUAUUUUUGCUUACAAAAUUAAUGUAUCACCUAAUAAACUUGAUUCAUUGUUGUUUGUGUCUACUGCUGGG